UGUGGGAGGCGACUUGUUAUGGGCCCCUCUAUUUGGGCCUGUUAUCGAUCCGGAUAGAUCCGGUUAUAUUUGGGCCGAGUCCAUACCAAUCAGGCCCGUUUACUAAAAUCCGGGUCCUUUUUUUUUUUUCUCUCCGACAAUUUUUUCCUUGUCGCUCUUCUUGAUUCUUUAACGGAUCUGUGAGAUGUAGUCUCUUCGUUUCUUUCUUCUCGCUCGUCUUCUUGCGGAAAUGCUCAUCUGAUCCCUGUUCAUGAACGCAUUCUCUGGUUUCGUCUCUUCGGAAUCAGAUCAAUUGUAGAGAGGUAGGUAUCAGAAUUUCGUCGGUGAAGGGGACGAGACGUUUAUGGCGUACGGAUGGUCCCAGGUGAUUCCGUUGGCAUCGGGGUCGUGCCCGUCUUCGCAUCGUGUAGUGUACCUCAAGCUCGCCGGACGGUUGUUGCUCGUCGUCUCUCCGUCGCAUUUGGAGCUCACCGGGUGAGGUUGGGGAAGGAGAGACGAGAAGUCGGUGCGGGAAGAAGGGGAGAAUUCGCGAGCUGUGUCGAGUCCUGAUGCCAAAUUGAUCGCUGUUCUUGUAAGUUUGUAUUCUCUCUCUCUCUCUCUCUCUCUCCCUCCCCCUCUCUCUUCAGUCAAAGAGUCAAUUGAUUGAACUCUGGGUAGGAGGUGCGUUAUAGAUUGCUCUUGUACGUAGAAUCGAGGAGAACGAACGGAAUCUAGACAGUCUUUAGUCAUGGAGCUAGCUUUUGCGGUCUGAGAUUGUUAAUUGUACGUUUAGGUUUUGUUUAUUGGACUUGAAUCGACUUAUCUUCUUUGGUGUGAGAUCGAUACAUGUGGGUUUGGCAUCGUUCUCUGGCCUAUCUGCGUUGUUAAGAAAUGGCGCUGCACACAAACUCCUCAGGGCACCUACAAUCUCUAUUCUUUUACUGUUUUUUAUGCUGAAGAUGAAGGUUUAAGAGACGAAAGUUCGUAGCUCCAGUUCUUUUGGCUGAUUAGCGGAAUCUGAAAAUGUUUUCUCCUUUCUCCAAAAUGUUCACAGGUGAGGUUAUGUUUCCUUUUCCGUUCCAGCCAAAAAACGGUUCUUUAAGAACCCGUCUCUGGAUAAGAGGUUGGCACCAUAACCUGUGUCGAUUCUUGUAGUUGCCUUCUGAGUGCGGCUCAUUUGAGUUAUGUUUCUGGCGAAGCAGCUCCUCUUUGAAAGAGCAGAGUCCUCAUGUUGCAUCCGUGAGGAACAUACUGGAAAGUCAUGCCGGCUACUUGAUGCCGGAGAAGGAACUUUCAAAGCUUGUUGCAUUCGUGAAAGAAUUCCUCUUGGCUCACAUGUGCUCCGUGAAGUUCAAAGAAUGGAUUCUUGUUCUCGCUACUCUUUUAAGACGGUCCGACCCGACGUAUGAUUCCCUGCCAGCGAAGGAAACCAUUGUUGGAACUCGAAUAAGAAUGUGUGAAUGAAUGGAAUGGCUCGCUUACAUGGGUUGCUUUGGACGCAGGUCAUUCAUGAUCUGCGAUUGUGGAAUGCAUACAACAUGACACUGCAGCUAUUCCUUUAAGUGGGUCGGCGGAAGUGGGAAGUGUGGGACACCAUCUCAAGUUCACGAGUUCAACUUUGCGGCCUCUGCUCUCCAUUCCCCACAUUUUAAUAAAACCCCACAAAAUUUGUUAUAAAAUAAUAAAAUUAAAUUAAAACUUUAUAUGUUUGUAUAGGUAUGUGGGCUACCGAAUUUUAUAUAACCUCACUUUAACGGAAUAUGGCCA